UUGAACGCUGGCGGCAUGCUUUACACAUGCAAGUCGAGCGGCAGCGCGGGGCAACCUGGCGGCGAGCGGCGAACGGGUGAGUAACAUAUCGGAACAUACCCAGUCGUGGGGGAUAACACAGCGAAAGUUGUGCUAAUACCGCAUACGUCCUGAGGGAGAAAGCGGGGGAUCGCAAGACCUCGCGCGAUUGGAGUGGCCGAUAUCGGAUUAGCCAGUUGGUGGGGUAAAGGCCUACCAAGGCGACGAUCCGUAGCUGGUCUGAGAGGAUGAUCAGCCACACUGGGACUGAGACACGGCCCAGACUCCUGCGGGAGGCAGCAGUGGGGAAUUUUGGACAAUGGGCGCAAGCCUGAUCCAGCCAUGCCGCGUGAGUGAAGAAGGCCUUCGGGUUGUAAAGCUCAUUCAGACGGAAAGAAAUCGGGCGCGUGAAUAGCGUGCCUGGAUGACGGUACUGUCAGAAGAAGCACCGGCUAACUACGU
rnacentral:rRNA from 1 species